rnacentral:rRNA from 1 species
GCAGGGUGAGUCGACCCCUAAGGUGAGGCCGAAAGGCGUAAUCGAUGGGAAACGGGUUAAUAUUCCCGUACUUCUGACUAUUGCGAUGGGGGGACGGAGAAGGCUAGGUGGGCCAGGCGACGGUUGUCCUGGUUCAAGUGCGUAGGCUUGAGAGUUAGGUAAAUCCGGCUCUCUCUAAGGCUGAGACACGACGUCGAGCUACUACGGUAGUGAAGUCAUUGAUGCCAUGCUUCCAGGAAAAGCCUCUAAGCUUCAGAUAGUCAGGAAUCGUACCCCAAACCGACACAGGUGGUCGGGUAGAGAAUACCAAGGCGCUUGAGAGAACUCGGGUGAAGGAACUAGGCAAAAUGGUACCGUAACUUCGGGAGAAGGUACGCUCUUGAUGGUGAAGUCCCUCGCGGAUGGAGCUGACGAGAGUCGCAGAUACCAGGUGGCUGCAACUGUUUAUUAAAAACACAGCACUGUGCAAAAUCGCAAGAUGACGUAUACGGUGUGACGCCUGCCCGGUGCCGGAAGG